AAUGAACGUUGGCGGCGUGGAUUAGGCAUGCAAGUCGAGCGAGAAUCUGACUGUUGAAGCUUCGGUGGAUUCAGUCAGAGGACAGCGGCAAACGGCGUAGUUAUGCGUAGGUACGUACCCUCAGGUCGGGGAUAGCCACGGGAAACUGUGGGUAAUACCCGAUGAUGUCUGUGGACCAAAGGUGUGAUUCCGCCUGAGGAGCGGCUUACGUGAUAUUAGCUUGAUGGUGGGGUAAUGGCCUACCAUGGCGACGAUGUCCAGGGGGUGUGAGAGCAUGGCCCCCACGACCGGAACUGAGAUACUGUCCGGACACCUACGGGUGGCUGCAGUCGAGAAUCUUCCGCAAUGGGCGAAAGCCUGACGGAGCGACGCCGCGUGCGGGAUGAAGGCCCUUGGGUUGUAAACCGCUGUCAGAGGGGAUGAAAUCAUGGUUGGUUAUCCUUCCAUGUUGACAGAGCCUCAAAGGAAGCACGGGCUAAGUACG
rnacentral:rRNA from 1 species